GAAAGAGCAAUGCGUGUGAGUCAGAACAACUAGGAAAUCCCCCAGUGAGAGUUACGACAGAAGGUGCUGUUCCUUUAAGCGGAGACUUCCUAAAACAAGCACGACACGGAGCAGAUAAACAACAACUGCGGGGGUAGAAUAACACCGAAUAGACCGUUUACCGGGAUUCAUCUUGUUCAUACAAACGACGGAUCUUUAAGGUGUGUCAAAGCACUAUAUCUGCUGAUUUCGCGUAUCAAAAAUCCCAGAACACCAUUGCGGAAGUAAACCCAACCUCGACGUGAGAAGAGGGGGACACCAAGUGGACUCAACGGAGAAAUACUGCGCGCGACCUUCUGUAUGGGAGAGAUGUACGGAUCGUCAGGAAUGCCAGAUCUGAUUCCAUCGAAUGGCCCGCGACAGCCCGGUCCGGCCGGCCAGUUCAACCCGGGACAUAGGCAGGUAGCACAGAAUGGGCAUGAGAGGCCCAACCCCCAGAGACUAGGGCAGCGGGCGCCCAAACUCGGACAAAUUGGUCGUUCCAAGAAAGUGGACCUAGGGGAUGAGGACGUGGAUGACAUCAUGAAUAAUAAUAGCCAAUAAUAAUGUUCCGUGUCCCUCAACCUCUCACCCAUCUCCUAAACCACACCACAUGUGCCAAUGAAGAUCUUCGAAGCCAAACUCAACUGAAUCAAUUUGACCUUGAUCAAUCAACUUUACAAGUGACCUCCCCUGAAGCUUGGCCUAGGAUAUCAUAGCUGAAAAGCUCAUCGUGGCACAUUGAGGGACAGUUCUAUUGCCGGAAUUCUAGACAUUAGUUCUAGACAUUAAUUUUAGGAUUCUAUAGACCUUUGCAUCAAAAGCUUGUAUAUUGCGGUUAACUUGUCUGUUGUUAUACUGUGAAUGAAUUGUACUGAAACUUGUUCUGCUCUUAUUACCUCUGUAGUGGACUAUCUGCACUUGGGAAAGUACAGUGUGGCUUGUCUUUAAAGCUUCUAAAGGGCUAUAUUUGAAAAAAAGUUGCACUCUUUAAAUGAUAAGGUAAAAUGGAGUAGGAGUGCUGAUCUAGGAUCAGGUCCCCACUUGUCUAUAGAAUCUUAUUUAAUAUCAUCUAAAAGGCAAGUCUGAUCUUAGAUCAGCACACAGAGGCUAUGAAUACAGUUUUCUUGGUUACUGAUUUUACAAGGUGGAUGUUGUGUAGAAGAAGGCAGGACGGAAGCCUGUUAAUGUUCCACCUGUACGUUACAUGUUGAGUUACUGACAGUUGUGAUUUAACCUAAAUCUGUGGUUCUCUCACCUUGUGGAGUAUCAGGUUACUGCUGAAUGAUCACUGUUUUGGAAUGCAGGGACAGUUGGAAAAGGUUACUACUGAUCAUUUAUAUUUACAAAAAAAAUAUUGUUUUGGUUUAUUACCUUGUUAUAAAUCAAUUAUGGAUGGCUAUUAUUUUCCAGCACAUUUUUUUAAAGAGUUGAUAUAAUAUAUG